AGCGAACGUUAGCGGCGCGCCUAACACAUGCAAGUCGCACGAGAAAGGGAGCAAUCCCCGGUACAGUGGCGCACGGGUGAGUAACACGUAGAUGACCUUCCCUGGAGUGGUGGAUAACCUGCCGAAAGGCGGGCUAAUACAGCAUGGGACCACAUGGUUUUGACCGAGUGGUGAAAGCGGGCCUCUGUUCACAAGCUCGCGCUCUGGGAUGGGUCUGCGUCCCAUCAGCUAGUUGGUGAGGUAAUGGCUCACCAAGGCAUCGACGGGUAGCUGGUCUGAGAGGAUGACCAGCCACACUGGAACUGAGACACGGUCCAGACUCCUACGGGAGGCAGCAGUGGGGAAGUCUUGCGCAAUGGGCGAAAGCCUGACGCAGCGACGCCGCGUGGGUGAUGAAGGCCUCGGUU
rnacentral:rRNA from 1 species